AUACGGAGGGGGCUAGCGUUGUUCGGAAUUACUGGGCGUAAAGCGCGCGUAGGCGGGUUGGCAAGUUGAAGGUGAAAUCCCAGGGCUCAACCCUGGAACUGCCUCCAAAACUGCCAGUCUUGAGUUCGGAAGAGGUGAGUGGAAUUCCUAGUGUAGAGGUGAAAUUCGUAGAUAUUAGGAAGAACACCAGUGGCGAAGGCGACUCACUGGUCCGAUACUGACGCUGAGGUGCGAAAGCGUGGGGAGCAAACGGGAUUAGAAACCCCAGUAGUCC
rnacentral:rRNA from 1 species